GAUGAACGCUGGCGGCGUGCUUAACACAUGCAAGUCGAACGAUUAAAGCCCCUUCGGGGGUGUAUAGAGUGGCGAACGGGUGAGUAACACGUGGGCAAUCUGCCCCUCACUCUGGGAUAACUCAGGGAAACUUGAGCUAAUACCGGAUACUCCGGCCGGACCGCAUGGCCUGGUCGGGAAAGCUCCGACGGUGAGGGAUGAGCCCGCGGCUCAUUAGCUUGUUGGUGAGGUAAAGGCUCACCAAGGCGACGAUGGGUAGCCGCGCUGGGGAGCGGGUCGGCCACACUAGGACUGCGACACGGCCCAGACUCCUACGGGAGGCAGCAGUGGGGAAUUUUGCGCAAUGGGCGAAAGCCUGACGCAGCUACGCCGCGUGCGGGAUGAAGGCUCUCGGGUCGUAAACCGCUUUCAGCAGGGAUGAAAUUGACAGUACCUGCAGAAGAAGCCCCGGCUAAAUACGUGCCAGCAGCCGCAGUAAUAC
rnacentral:rRNA from 1 species